GAGCAAUCACUAGGAUGAUCGAUUGAACACUCCUUCACCAAACAAGGCUGGAGGCCUGGGAUGGACGCCGGUGGUUUGAGAUAUGCAGAAGAAAUGGGUCCUGCCCUCCGGAACACUCCAGAAUCAGCAUUGAUUAACAAGCCCCCUGGACUUUGGAUGACUUCUCUGAAGCCCCAGCUGUGCCUGGCUGGGCCAUCUCCCUUCUCCGCUUGGCCACAGCAUAAACUGCAGUCAAGCCACAAGAGUGACCUCAAGGCCUCAGGCCACUUUUCCAGCCUCAGCUUUUCUUAGGGGCCCAGCCCACUUACAACAGAAAUUUGCCAAAGACUGGGUUGGUAAGUAAUGGAUAAGUUUUCAUAUUUACUAUUUUCAUUUCUGAAUCUCUCUUUACAUGCAGUUAAGCCAGGAAAUCCUGAAAGAACACUCUUCAGAAUGUUUUUAAGUAAAACAACAAGUUUCUGUUAAUUUAGGGCCAACCCAUGAGUAAACAGAUAGAGCCU
rnacentral:lncRNA from 1 species